CCUACGGGAGGCAGCAGUGGGGAAUUUUGGACAAUGGGGGAAACCCUGAUCCAGCCAUGCCGCGUGGGUGAAGAAGGCCUUCGGGUUGUAAAGCCCUUUCGGCGGGGAAGAAAUCGGCUGGGUGAAUAGCCUGGCUGGAUGACGGUACCUGCAGAAGAAGCACCGGCUAACUACGUGCCAGCAGCCGCGGUAAUACGUAGGGUGCGAGCGUUAAUCGGAAUUACUGGGCGUAAAGCGUGCGCAGGCGGCUCAUUAAGACAGGCGUGAAAUCCCCGGGCUUAACCUGGGAACGGCGCUUGUGACUGGUGGGCUGGAGUGUGUCAGAGGGAGGUGGAAUUCCACGUGUAGCAGUGAAAUGCGUAGAGAUGUGGAGGAACACCGAUGGCGAAGGCAGCCUCCUGGGACAACACUGACGCUCAUGCACGAAAGCGUGGGGAGCAAACAGGAUUAGAUACCCGGGUAGU
rnacentral:rRNA from 1 species